rnacentral:misc_RNA from 1 species
GAUGAAGAACGCAGCGAAAUGCGAUAAGUAAUGUGAAUUGCAGAAUUCAGUGAAUCAUCGAAUCUUUGAACGCACCUUGCGCCCUUUGGCCAUUCCGAAGGGCAUGCCUGUUUGAGUAUCAUGAACACCUCAACUCUCAUGGCUUGCCAUGAUGAGCUUGGACUUUGGGGGUCUUGCUGGCCUGUGGUCGGCUCCUCUCAAAUGAAUCAGCUUGCCAGUGUUUGGUGGCAUCACAAGUGUGAUAACUAUCUGCGCUCGUGGUUUCCAUCAGAUAACCUCCAGUGAUGGAGGUUCGCUGGAGCUCAUAAAUGUCUCUCCUAAGCGAGGACAGCUCUUUUAAUGUUUGAUCUCAAAUCAGGUAGGACUACCCGCUGAACUUAAGCAUAUCAAUAAGCGGAGG